GAUGAACGCUGGCGGCGUGCCUAACACAUGCAAGUCGAACGGAGAUUACGGACGGAAGUUUUCGGAUGGAAGCCUGUAAUUCUUAGUGGCGGACGGGUGAGUAACGCGUGGGCAACCUGCCCUAUACAGGGGGAUAGCAGCUGGAAACGGCUGGUAAGACCGCAUAAGUCGGUUAAAUAGCAUGAUUUGAUCGGGAAAUGAGCAAUCAGGUAUAGGAUGGGCCCGCGUCCGAUUAGCCAGUUGGCAGGGUAAAAGCCUACCAAAGCGACGAUCGGUAGCCGGACUGAGAGGUCGGACGGCCACAUUGGGACUGAGACACGGCCCAAACUCCUACGGGAGGCAGCAGUGGGGGAUAUUGCACAAUGGAGGAAACUCUGAUGCAGCGACGCCGCGUGAGUGAAGAAGUAUUUCGGUAUGUAAAGCUCUACCAGCAGGGAAGAUGAUGACGGUACCUGACGAAGAAGCCCCGGCUAACUACGUG
rnacentral:rRNA from 1 species